rnacentral:snoRNA from 1 species
CGUAGCUGCGAUGAGGAUAACAAGCUCCCUCUUCUGAAAGCAUUGACGACAUCGCUGGCAGAACCGAACAAUUAAACAUUGCCACCACUGAGCAA